GUCUAGGUUUCUUUCUUUACCAUGUACAGGGAGUACUGGAGUUUUCUUCUUCUCCAAAGAUGAUGAACGCCUAAGAGAUAAUUGCCUAAUAGGAAUCUGGACUUUUAGAGCUUACCAAAACAUUGGCCACUUGACAGUUUACCUAGAUAUUUUGGAUCCUUUCAGAGGGCCCAAAGUGAUUUUGUAGAUUAGCAGAGCUCAGUGAAGAAAAAGAGGAUUGUGAAGACAGACGUAGAUUAUUGCUUGAGGAGCAGCUACUUAACUAUAUAUAUCAAGAGUAUUUAAGAAUAAGAGUGAAUUUAGAGACUUCUCCUAACAGUGGAUUCAGAACCUUCUCCAAAGAAUUUGUUAGAUUUUCAUUAUUUUCCAGAACGCCAAAGGAAGCAUAAGGAUACCAGAUAAAAAGUACAAGGAAACCAAUAAACCUUUUACUGAUUAGAA